rnacentral:tRNA from 1 species
GCCCGGGUAGUAUACAUAAGUGCAGCUGUUUUUCGUGCGGCAAGUGGUUUUGGUUAACCCCCGGGUU